rnacentral:rRNA from 1 species
UACGUAGGGUGCGAGCGUUAAUCGGAAUUACUGGGCGUAAAGCGUGCGCAGGCGGUUAUGUAAGACAGGUGUGAAAUCCCCGGGCUUAACCUGGGAACUGCAUUUGUGACUGCAUAGCUAGAGUACGGUAGAGGGGGAUGGAAUUCCGCGUGUAGCAGUGAAAUGCGUAGAUAUGCGGAGGAACACCGAUGGCGAAGGCAAUCCCCUGGACCUGUACUGACGCUCAUGCACGAAAGCGUGGGAGCAAACAGG